UACGGGGGGGGGCAAGCGUUGUUCGGAAUUACUGGGCGUAAAGGGCGCGUAGGCGGCCUACUAAGUCGGACGUGAAAUCCCUCGGCUCAACCGAGGAACUGCGUCCGAUACUGGCAGGCUGGAAUCCGGGAGAGGGAUGUGGAAUUCCAGGUGUAGCGGUGAAAUGCGUAGAUAUGUGAGGAACACCGGUGGCGAAGGCGGCAUCCUGGACCGGUAUUGACGCUGAGGCGCGAAAAGCUAGGGGAGCAAACGGG
rnacentral:rRNA from 1 species